UUUUACCCCCCUUUUAUUUUUAUUUUCCCAAAUUGCCCCUCUUUCCUUCAAUCAGCCGCGUUUUAAAACCCUAAUAUUUUUUUUGUCACUCUUCUUCUCUAUCCGGACCGUGUCGCUGCGCUCCGCUCUCCCAUCUCUAGGUCUAGCAAAAAUGAGUCGCUCUAGCAGAACUCUCUAUGUUGGCAACCUUCCUGGGGACGUUCGUGAGCGCGAAGUGGAGGAUCUUUUUUACAAGAGUGCAUCUUAAUAUCCACAUCUUUGACUGGUUCAAUUUCAUUUACUGGCAGUAUGGAUCAAUUGUGCAUAUUGAUCUUAAAAUUCCCCCAAGGCCCCCUGGCUAUGCUUUUGUUGAGUUUGAAGAGUCUCGGGAUGCUGAAGAUGCCAUACGAGGGCGUGAUGGCUAUGAUUUUGAUGGGCAUCGCCUACGGGUUGAGCUAGCGCAUGGUGGGCGUGGCAACUCAUCAUCGACAGAUCGUCAAACUGGAAGUCGGGGUCCCCGUGGUGGCGUUUCUAGGCGCUCAGAAUACAGAGUUCUAGUCACCGGCUUGCCUCAUUCUGCUUCAUGGCAAGAUCUUAAGGAUCAUAUGCGUCGAGCUGGAGAUGUCUGUUUCUCACAAGUUUUCCAUGAGGGGAGUGGAAAGACAGGGAUAGUGGACUACACAAAUUUUGAUGACAUGAAAUAUGCUAUCAAGAAGCUCGAUGGUUCUGAGUUUCGGAAUGCUUUCUCACGGGCUAGAGUACAUGUGAAGGAAUAUGAUUCUAGCCGCUCUAGAAGUCGCAGCCGUAGCCGCAGCCGCAGCCGCAGUCGCAGUCGCAGCCCGUCUUACUCAAAAGGAAGGAGCAAUGGUCGAAGCAAGAGCAAAAGUCCUAGUAUUAGCCGAAGCAGGAGCAAAAGCAAGUCACCUAAAGGGAAAUCAUCGCGUCGUUCAAGGUCUCGGUCAAGAUCAUUAUCUCGGUCUCGUUCUGCAUCAAAAGCACGCUCUUUAUCAAGAUAUGGAUAUAUGCGCGAUCUGGGGAUUGCAUAUUAGGAUCUUGUUGGGUAAAAUUGGUUCAGUUGGCUACAACUCUUUUGGGGUUGGAGAUUGGAACAUGAAGAUCAUGGAUUACUAUGGUGAAGCUGGAUAUUGGACUAAUUGAAUAAGAGAACACCUUUUUGCCGUGGAAACGUUUAAACUAUCUCCAAUGGUGCUAAGCUAUCAACUCAUUCUAUUCGAGCAUUUAUUGAUUCUUUUGGUAUUUUUUGCUAAUCACAUAUUCCAAUGCCAAGGUUGUGUUUCUUCUUUGAUGGGCUACUUGCUUGGGUGAAAUUAAUAUUUUCCGUUUUUGUUUUUCUUCUCAUGUGUAUUCUAAAUGUUUGUGAGUUUCCUCUUGCCCAAUAUGGUCACGGUCACUAUGACGUGGAAGUGGCAACAAGGCUCUUGGAUCAAAGUUUUAAAGAGGGACUAGUGGAUAUUAAAUUGGGUUGUUUCUGGACCUUUUGCAGAUCUCCUUCAAGAUCCAGAUCCCCGAAACCAGCU